UUCGCAAUGCCCGAAAGGGUGACGAAGCGACGCCGCGUGAGUGAGGAAGGCCUUCGGGUUGUAAAGCUCUGUCAGGAGUUAAGAAAUAUAAGUGUGUUAAUACCGCAUUUAUUUGACAAAGGCUCCAAAGGAAGCCACGGCUAACUCUGUACCAGCAACCGCGGUAAUACAGAGGUGGCAAGCGUUGUUCGGUAUUAUUGGGCGUAAAGAGCACGUAGGUGGUUUUGUAAGUCAGAUGUGAAAGCCUUCUGUUCAAAGGAAGAACGGCAUCUGAAACUGCGAAUCUUGAGUGUAGGAGGGGAGAGUGGAACUUCUGGUGGAGCGGUGAAAUGCGUAGAUAUCAGAAGGAACGACAGCGGCGAAAGCGACUCUCUGGCCUAUUACUGACACUGAGUGUGCGAACGUUAGGGGAGCAAACGGGAUUAGAUACCCCGGUAGUCCUAACUGUAAACGAUGGGCACUAAGUAGAGGGGUUUUA
rnacentral:rRNA from 1 species